rnacentral:rRNA from 1 species
UUUGACUGGGGCGGUCUCCUCCUAAAGAGUAACGGAGGAGCACGAAGGUUGGCUAAUCCUGGUCGGACAUCAGGAGGUUAGUGCAAUGGCAUAAGCCAGCUUGACUGCGAGCGUGACGGCGCGAGCAGGUGCGAAAGCAGGUCAUAGUGAUCCGGUGGUUCUGAAUGGAAGGGCCAUCGCUCAACGGAUAAAAGGUACUCCGGGGAUAACAGGCUGAUACCGCCCAAGAGUUCAUAUCGACGGCGGUGUUUGGCACCUCGAUGUCGGCUCAUCACAUCCUGGGGCUGAAGUAGGUCCCAAGGGUAUGGCUGUUCGCCAUUUAAAGUGGUACGCGAGCUGGGUUUAGAACGUCGUGAGACAGUUCGGUCCCUAUCUGCCGUGGGCGCUGGAGAACUGAGGGGGGCUGCUCCUAGUACGAGAGGACCGGAGUGGACGCAUCACUGGUGUUCGGGUUGUCAUGCCAAUGGCACUGCCCGGUAGCUAAAUGCGGAAGAGAUAAGUGCUGAAAGCAUCUAAGCACGAAACUUGCCCCGAGAUGAGUUCUCCCUGACUCCUUGAGAGUCCUGAAGGAACGUUGAAGACGACGACGUUGAUAGGCCGGGUGUGUAAGCGCAGCGAUGCGUUGAGCUAACCGGUACUAAUGAACCGUGAGGCUUAACCUU